AUGGACGGCACUUUGCGGGAGGAGGCGAAUCGGCCGGCGGACGGCGGUUGCUUCUACUCUCCGCCGUUGUCGCGGCCGUCGUCGUCAAGGUCCGCGCCAUCCCCCACUUCUUCGUCCCCUACAACGCCGGCCUCAGGCUCUACAUCUUCCUCAUCAUCUUCCCCUUCAUUGGUCAGACUUCAAACACGUUCAUCUUCUCAGAAUGUGUCCUUCCUCCUUGGGGUUUCGAUCCCAUCCGAUUGUAGGGUUGCCUUCACUAAACACCCAGUCAAUCUGCUGCUGCUUGGCAUCUUCAGUGUCCAUCAGCAAUUGGAUAGCUUCCUACUAGCUAUUAUUGUGAAGCGUUCUGUUUGCGUGUGGACUGGAUUCAGAAAUACAUGUGCCGCCAAUUUGCCAUGCCCAUGCAAAUGGUACUCUUGGCCCCAUAUGCUUUUUGUCAAACUCCCUCAUAAAGCACAAAAUUUCAACAAAGCAGUUAAAUCAGUAGAAGCAUCACAUGAUCUGAAGUUUACUUCUAGGCUGGAAAGCCUGCCCGACCAGACCCCGCAUCCCGUCCCAGCCCGCAAAAAUUUUUGGGGGGCGCGGCAAAUUCCCGAGCCCAACCCGGGAAAACGAGGGUUCCCCCUUGCGGUUGCGGUGCCCUGCAUCACAGAGAAGCCAUUGGCGGGAGGGACAUUUCAGCCCGCGCUCUUUUCCCCCUCCUUCCGCCGCCGCCCGCCCUUGCUCCCGCGCUGCCCGCCGCCGGCAAUUUUGGCCAUAUGCGCGGGUAGAAUCGCGCCCCAGGGCCGUCCCACACCCUCCCGCGCCGAGCCGAUGCAACGCCCCUCCGGAUCCAGCGAGAAGAGCCGCCCCCCGUCGUCGCCGCCGCCGGGGAUCGACCACCGUCGCCGCCCGGGAUCACCCGCCACCGUUUGUUUUCAAUUGUUGAAUUAUGUUGCAUUUGAUAUUUGCGGGCUGAUGAUAUGCGGGAGGCAGCGGCGCAAAGAGCAGAACCCGCAAAGCCGACCCGUAAAAAAGGAACAACAAGGAACAUGUGGUGUUCUUGGGCAGGCAUCCAUGAUAAGGAAGGUGCAUGAUGAUUCAGACAAAAUCAGCAGCGGACGAUGUUGUGGAGAAAGAGAAACCACUCUAGGGGUUCAGGUUCUCAAAAAGAUGCUGAUGAUAAAGCAAGAAGAUUUGGUUGACGAGUUCAAGGAGUAUGUGAACAACAAGAGUUACCCGAUUGCAAUGAAUAUCUAUACUUGUGGUACCCAUAAAAAAAACAUGCACUUCAUCGAAGAUUGGCACUGGACCAGAACUUACCUUCCUGUCAACGGUAAUGGGAACCGGAUCAUUGUGGCCACACGGCAAGUUGAAGUUGCAAGGUUAUGCAUCACCAAGAAAUGCGGAGUCCUAGAGCUUAAGCAAUUACCCACUGAUCAAACUCUCUAUGUUUUGUGUACCGGAAGCUGGUCUGUGAUGGAGCUCGUUGAUUGGAGGCGCUUUCUUCCUAUGGUUUCUUCAUGGACAGUGGCGGAGCUAGGAUUCGAGUAUAGGGGGGACCAAUCAUAUGUUCUCAUCACCCUCUUUCGGGUGCUGACUCAACACAUUCCUCCCCCAUUCCUCGCGAGGUCCAAGGCAAAGGCGUCUCAGGGAGCAGCCGCUGGUUGCUCUCUCCCUCAAGCCGGCUGCUGCUUUUUUCUUCGUGAUUUCCUGGUCAAGGUAUGGGUAAGGAAAGAACCAAACGGGGGAGGGGCACCGGUGGAAGUGAAUGACCAACCUCCCUUUAAUAGUAGAGAUUCAGUUUACAUCCCACAUCAACUGUACCCACAUCAACAGUACCCACAUCAACCCCACAUCAACUGUACCCAUUUCAUAAAUGUUGUCUCCAUCUUCUCGUAA
rnacentral:rRNA from 1 species